rnacentral:rRNA from 1 species
GACGUAGGGCGCGAGCGUUGUCCGGAUUUAUUGGGCGUAAAGAGCUCGUAGGCGGCUUGUCGCGUCGACUGUGAAAGCCCGCGGCUCAACCGCGGGUCUGCAGUCGAUACGGGCAGGCUAGAGUUCGGUAGGGGAGACUGGAAUUCCUGGUGUAGCGGUGAAAUGCGCAGAUAUCAGGAAGAACACCCGUGGCGAAGGCGGCUCUCUGGAACGCAACUGACGCUGAGACGCGAAAGCGUGGGAGCAAACAGG